rnacentral:rRNA from 1 species
UACGAAGGGGGCUAGCGUUGUUCGGAAUUACUGGGCGUAAGGCGCGCGUAGGCGGCCCGAUUAGUCAGGGGUGAAAUUCCUGGGCUCAACCCCGGACCUGCCUUCAAGACUGGUGGUCUAGAGUCCGAGAGAGGUGAGUGGAAUUCCUAGUGUAGAGGUGAAAUUCGUAGAUAUUAGGAAGAACACCAGUGGCGAAGGCGGCUCACUGGCUCGGUACUGACGCUGAGGUGCGAAAGCGUGGGGAGCAAACAGG